rnacentral:lncRNA from 1 species
UCAAACCAUUCUAUGCUCUUCUUUCUCUGCUUUUUCUUUGAUUUGUGACUUAUUUAUCAACCAAAUUCUAUAAAAUCAAUCUUGAAAUGGUUGGCUCUUCAUCUAGAUUGACUAGGCGUACCCUAGUAGCUCCAGAUUAAAAGUUUUCACCGCUAAUUUUUCACCAGAAUGGUCUUGGACUUGUCAAAUGGGAGGAAAUAUUUAUUUUGGCAAAAUUAAACACUCAUCAGGCGUCUUCAGCCGUCAAAGAGGUAUUUUCUUGAAUUAAAUCUUAUUUUUUUAUUUAUAUACUAGAUAUACACGUUAUCUACUCAAAAUGCAUGAAAAAAUAUUGAAAAAGUCAAAGAAAUUGUGUGACCUAACCCACAGAGCAUAUUUGACUACGCGUAGUCGAUCGGCUCUACAUAGUCUGAAUCAACAGUGCACGGGAAAAUUAGUUUUUAGAGCAUUUUGACAUAAAACAAUAAUAAAUAAACAAUAUACUUACUUGUUUCGAUUCUCGGUGUGUAUUGUGUUUUUAAUACCUAUUUUUGCAUUUUUCAGAGCGAUGUUGUAUCGAUCUAGUUCGUGAAAAUUUUUACGGGGCAUGCGAAUGGUUUGAUGAGUUACCGAGUCUUAUGCAGGCUAGGAUCGGCAACACUAGAUUUCGCUGAGUUUUUGCUAUAUUGCCAUAUAUUACCGAAAGGACUGACCAUACCUCGGUUCACGCUCUGAUAGAGAGGUCGAUGGACACCGCCCAAACAUUUCAUACACUAGUCUCCGCCCCCUUACCUUGAUGUGGUAUUCUCAGGGGCCGAAGUGCAAUGUCCCACUGACUGUGCUCGGACUGCUGGAGCCGAAACUGGUUGGUGCUUUGCCGGGCUCCGGGAAAAGCGGAUUCUCAGUUAGCUGCUUUUUUUUAGCAUAGGAGGGUGGUCGUAGAUCAAGAAGCAAGUCUGACACUCAUAUUGGAAGGGACUGAAUUCCGCAACUUAUUAGGAGUAGGGACUUACGGUCCAUGCAUUAAAGCGCUUUUUUUUUGUCUGAAAAAGUGAUUGUUUUAACACCGAUUUGAUAAGAUUACAAAAUGAUUCUCUUUCUUGUAUGCUCCCAUCUGAUCUACGAGGAGUUGACUCUAUCUCCACUAUCCUUUGCCGCCAUCACUAAGAUUGACUUCACAAGUAUGCUUGUACCUUUUGACGAUGCCAUCCACGACCAGUGCUCCGAAGUUCGGGAGCAUUAUAUUACUAAUUUGCUAGGUUUCUUGUCAGCGUGCAAGAACACUCGGUGCUUGGCUUACUAGAGAAUUCCCUUCCAUUAUAUGGGCUUGUGCCUCAGAAUGCUCAUGAGGUAGAUUAAAUGGCUUAAGCCUUAUUUGUGUAUCACUUCGGGAAUACAUUGUUUAGUAACUCAUAAAACUCAUUGCACUUCUAUUAUUUGGCCUCGUUGAGGAAUUUAGACUAGGUCUCCUCUUUAAAAUGGGGAUCUAUGGCUCUUGCUUACAUGUACCAUCGGAUGGACAUUACUGUUCGUAGGAGCAAAAGGAUAUGCGACUUUUGGCAUGCGAUACACAUAAGUUCUACUGCUAUAAUUUCUUCCUUUUCUACUUUCUUGUAUUGACGUGGUAGCUACUCACUCUUAAUUUGUAGGUUUGGGCCUUAGAUAUUGGCCUUCUGGUGGGCUCUCAUCCUAUUAGCAUGUCUUGAGCUUUCCCGCAUUUGAGCUACUGGGGCUUAAGCAAGAGCAUCCAUCUAGAGUGGGCACAGGUCCAUGUGCAUCGCAUGUGGAUCAACUCCUUGACUUGGAAUAAGGUAAAAAGAAAAUUAAUUAGUCAUGUUUAUAUUUUACAAGUUUCAGUUACUUACUUUUUCAAUAUGCAGAUUUAUAGCGACUAGCUUAGUGAGUGCCGUCACUGGGAUCCCUAUAUAUGGACCUUAAUCACAGGAGGCUCCUCUUGGCUGGCCCUACUUGUCGGGUCUGGUUCUUAGGCAAAAGGAUCUACAACUAGGAAAGGGGGCCUAGUAGACACCGGGUUCCUUUAUCUUCCCCGCUCUCUAUGUUUUGGACGGUGGACCUUGUCGGCGAGGAGCUAGCAAGGAGUCUGGAGGGAUAAUGAUGAAUUUGAGGAUCUCACCAUUUGGUCUCGGAAGAUGGACUACACCUCCUUCAUCCCUCAGCUACUAGGGCCCGUGCCCUUAAUAAUGAUACUAUGGCUUAGGUUUGUUCUUGACUUUAUCAAGUUUUCACUUUCUUUUUUUCUCUUUACUUGGUUACCCAUUUAGCUGCUUUACUAUAGUUCAUUUGUUGUGCGCCUCUGGCUCUUAGGCCGAUAGAGGAGCGGUUUGGUUGCUGUUCCAAGCCCUCCCAUAUCUUAAGCUCCUCUAUGGGUGCUACAUUUGAGGCACCUCCUACGAUGAUUUUAGACAUGGUGCCUGGGACCGUCCCGUUUCUUUCAGACCCGAUGAUAUCCUACUAGAGUCCUGCUGGAACCAUAGAGCAUAAGCUUACUCCGAACACUUGUAGACACGUUAUUCUUUUUGGUACUUUAUCUCUUUUUUUUUCUUGAAGUGUUAGCAAUAUACAUAAUCAUAUAGGUUGAGAGAGAUCAGUUCGAGCACAUACAUAGACUAGUCGGUGCCAUGAGGAGAUCUUCAUCCUUGGCAAGGACUAACGGGUAAGGAAAUUGUCACACCUCAUCUCGCGUAGCCCAAGAUGGAUAUUUAAAACAAAACGCUCACUAACGUCCUUUUAGUUUAGUUGAAUUAUAG